rnacentral:rRNA from 1 species
UACGUAGGGUGCGAGCGUUAAUCGGAAUUACUGGGCGUAAAGGGUGCGUAGGUGGGUAGGUAAGUCAGUGGUGAAAUCUUCGAGCUUAACUCGGAAACUGCCAUUGAUACUAUUUAUCUUGAAUACUCUGGAGGUAAGCGGAAUAUGUCAUGUAGCGGUGAAAUGCUUAGAUAUGACAUAGAACACCAAUUGCGAAGGCAGCUUACUACAUAGUUAUUGACACUGAGGCACGAAAGCGUGGGGAUCAAACAGG